CACCUUGGCUGUGAAACGGGGUGUGUGUGGAGGGCUGGUGGGGAGGGGGCAGCCUGCGGGCGGGGACGUGGAGACGCGCAGGCUGGGGGCGGCGCAGGCGGGCUGAGGGGUCCUGGGCUCGCCAGGGCCUCGUCUGGGGUUAUGACUCCCGCGGGAAGCACGACUGCUUCGGAGAGUUCUCCACCGCCUUCGAGGAGAUGCAGAAAGCCUUUGGGGAGAACCAGGUGGCUGUUGACUUCACCCUCGGAACAGCUGCUCCCUUCACUAUAUCAACUCCUUCCAGCCCAGCGAAUACCUGCAGGCCCUGGUGGCCGUGGGCGAGAUCUGCCAGGACUAUGACAGCGACAAGAGGCUCUCUGCUUUGGGGUUUGGAGCCCAGAUCCCUCCCAAGGAUGAGGUGUCCCAUGACUUUGCCAUCAAUUUCAACCCGGAGGACGGCAUCCAGGGCAUGGUGGAGGCGUCCCAGAACUGCCUGCCCAGGGUCCAGCUGUAUGGCCACCACGUGGCUCCCAUCAUCUCCAAGGUGGUCUGCACGGCUGCAGCUGAGGAACGCAGCGGAGAGGCUUCUGUAGGUGGUGGGCGGGCACUGCGGGGACCGCGUGCCUUAGAAGGUGUGCCUGCUGCUGGGGAGGUGGGACCGGAUGGGGGUUUGCAGAGGUUGACAGAGCAGCCCGCGGGAGGCCCUGAGGCAGGGAGCGAGAGGCAGCUGGGUGGCAGCGGGGCUGAGAGACCAGGAGGCCCCAGAGCCAGUGGGGUAAGGUGAAUUCUUGCCCUGGAGGCUGACUUGCCGAGCCCGCAGGCAGCCCGAUGUUUAUGGCUCUCUUGGUCCUAUUGUGCGUACGUCGUUAUUUUUUUUUUUUUUUGUCUUUUUUUUGUUGUUGUUGUU
rnacentral:lncRNA from 1 species